rnacentral:rRNA from 1 species
GGAAAGGCGCGCGAUACAGGGUGACAGCCCCGUACACAAAAAUGCACAUGCUGUGAGCUCGAUGAGUAGGGCGGGACACGUGGUAUCCUGUCUGAAUAUGGGGGGACCAUCCUCCAAGGCUAAAUACUCCUGACUGACCGAUAGUGAACCAGUACCGUGAGGGAAAGGCGAAAAGAACCCCGGCGAGGGGAGUGAAAAAGAACCUGAAACCGUGUACGUACAAGCAGUGGGAGCACGCUUAGGCGUGUGACUGCGUACCUUUUGUAUAAUGGGUCAGCGACUUAUAUUCUGUAGCAAGGUUAACCGAAUAGGGGAGCCGAAGGGAAACCGAGUCUUAACUGGGCGUUAAGUUGCAGGGUAUAGACCCGAAACCCGGUGAUCUAGCCAUGGGCAGGUUGAAGGUUGGGUAACACUAACUGGAGGACCGAACCGACUAAUGUUGAAAAAUUAGCGGAUGACUUGUGGCUGGGGGUGAAAGGCCAAUCAAACCGGGAGAUAGCUGGUUCUCCCCGAAAGCUAUUUAGGUAGCGCCUCGUGAAUUCAUCUCCGGGGGUAGAGCACUGUUUCGGCAAGGGGGUCAUCCCGACUUACCAACCCGAUGCAAACUGCGAAUACCGGAGAAUGUUAUCACGGGAGACACACGGCGGGUGCUAACGUCCGUCGUGAAGAGGGAAACAACCCAGACCGCCAGCUAAGGUCCCAAAGUCAUGGUUAAGUGGGAAACGAUGUGGGAAGGCCCAGACAGCCAGGAUGUUGGCUUAGAAGCAGCCAUCAUUUAAAGAAAGCGUAAUAGCUCACUGGUCGAGUCGGCCUGCGCGGAAGAUGUAACGGGGCUAAACCAUGCACCGAAGCUGCGGCAGCGACACUAUGUGUUGUUGGGUAGGGGAGCGUUCUGUAAGCCUGUGAAGGUGUGCUGUGAGGUAUGCUGGAGGUAUCAGAAGUGCGAAUGCUGACAUAAGUAACGAUAAAGCGGGUGAAAAGCCCGCUCGCCGGAAGACCAAGGGUUCCUGUCCAACGUUAAUCGGGGCAGGGUGAGUCGACCCCUAAGGCGAGGCCGAAAGGCGUAGUCGAUGGGAAACAGGUUAAUAUUCCUGUACUUGGUGUUACUGCGAAGGGGGGACGGAGAAGGCUAUGUUGGCCGGGCGACGGUUGUCCCGGUUUAAGCGUGUAGGCUGGUUUUCCAGGCAAAUCCGGAAAAUCAAGGCUGAGGCGUGAUGACGAGGCACUACGGUGCUGAAGCAACAAAUGCCCUGCUUCCAGGAAAAGCCUCUAAGCAUCAGGUAACAUCAAAUCGUACCCCAAACCGACACAGGUGGUCAGGUAGAGAAUACCAAGGCGCUUGAGAGAACUCGGGUGAAGGAACUAGGCAAAAUGGUGCCGUAACUUCGGGAGAAGGCACGCUGAUAUGUAGGUGAGGUCCCUCGCGGAUGGAGCUGAAAUCAGUCGAAGAUACCAGCUGGCUGCAACUGUUUAUUAAAAACACAGCACUGUGCAAACACGAAAGUGGACGUAUACGGUGUGACGCCUGCCCGGUGCCGGAAGGUUAAUUGAUGGGGU